rfam:Ancylostoma duodenale strain Zhejiang A_duodenale-1.0_Cont247580.1, whole genome shotgun sequence.
CCAACGGCCCUCUUUAGGGCCACAAAUAUUCACGAAUACUUAUUG